UACGGAGGAUGCAAGCGUUAUCCGGAUUCAUUGGGUUUAAAGGGUGCGUAGGCGGACUAUUAAGUCAGUGGUGAAAGCCUGCAGCUUAACUGCAGAACUGCCAUUGAUACUGAUAGUCUUGAGUUUGGUUAAGGUAGGCGGGAUGUGUAAUGUAGCGGUGAAAUGCUUAGAUAUUACACAGAACACCAAUUGCGUAGGCAGCUUACUGAGCCGACACUGACGCUGAGGCACGAAAGCGUGGGGAUCGAACA
rnacentral:rRNA from 1 species